UCAGAAAAUAAGGUUGGUUGGUUGGUUGGUUGGUUUUUUCAGAAAAAAAAAAUGGUCCUGGGCAGUCAAAGAAAAUUAGAGGAGCUUCUUCAGUCACCUAGAGAAUAAGACUCAGUUCUAUGACUUGACCCAUCUGAUCAUGGCCUCAGGUCUCUCUGACAUCACAAAGCACACCAGGAUGUUCAUUGUCUGCCUAGGGCUAUUUCAUAAAAGAAGGGGUCUUGAGAGAUGACUCUUUUCCUAUGAUAAGUAUUUCUUAUACCUCGAACACCAAUAGACUUCAGGGAAUUCAGCCUGGCAAAUAAUCCUUGAAAAGUACAAGAUCAAUCUUCUUUCUUCUUUUUUUUAAACGUGUUUUAAAAGUUUUAAGUCUAGGGACUUAGAAUGAAUAAAGGGGGCAGCCCCUGGGAAAUCCAGCAGUUCUUGGAACAUGAAAAUUAAACAUGAAUCCACAAAAAUUCUUCAGAUACCUAGUAUCUGGCAAAGAUUUCUUUUGUUAAGAUCAGUGCUCAGUAAAGUCAGUAUUUUAUGAAGAAUAAAUUAAUCCUGAAAAAGGAAAUCCUUUAGUAACCAAAUGGGGAGAAGACCAAGGAUAUUUCCCAAAGAAUUGGUCCAGUUCCCUCAAAAUAGCCUGUAUCACAAGGCUUCUUCAGUGCUGUUACCAUGUCCCCCACACCGGAUUUCACCAUUCUGGGAAAAAGAAUACAAGUCAAGGGCUGAACUGAUGUCACUCCUCAACAAACCUCAUAGCCCUCAAGCACCACAUUGUUCCUACCAGAGGAAUACCCAAAAGCAGUCUCCACCUUGGCUCAAAAAUCCAGCUUUCCAUUCUAAGAUGCCCCAACUUCAUCCCAGAGCAAUGGCAGUGCCAUUGCCCCAUCUUCAUCAUCUGGCUAAGCCAUCCCCUCAUCACAAACACCCUACAGUGACUCCAGUCUUGCCUCAAUCUCGGAAUGAUAUCCCAACCAGAAAAACAACUACAACUUUAACUCCUAUUGAACAAUGUCUCAUACCUCCUUUGGGCUCCAAAAACCACCUUGAAUCUUCUUUGGAUUCUGAGCAUCAUUUGGAGACUCUUUCAGACUCUGACCACCUUCCCAAGAUUUUCCCAGUCUGUGACCAUUCAGUUAUUGAGGAUCUAACACAUCUCAACCAGAAGGAUCCAACUCCACCUUUCCCUGACCACCAGACUAAGAUUGCAUUACGUGAAAGACCCAGAUCCAGACCUAGUAUAGCCAGUAUAGUCUCUGACACCCAAACAGCAAACAUUAAGCCUUUGUUAAGAACUCCCACACCACCGGCCAGGGUUUUUCCAAAACCUAAGCGCCGGAUCAAGGCUGCCAAUGCACUGUUAGGACUUUUCAACAUAGACCCUGUACUUCAACCAAUUGCAAAAUCAUUACCUUGUCCCAUCUGGACCAGGACUCCAAAUUUCAGAACAUCAGUCAUAGACUACUGGGUCAAUUCCCAAUCUCUGAAGGAAGCACAAACAUCCAGGGACACAUUAUCCCUUUUACAAUGCCUAAAUCAUCAACCUGGACCACUUGCUGCACCUACAACACAUCUGAAUCAGAGAAACCAGUCUACAACUAUAUGUAGAUACAAUCCUCACCUGCUAUGUAGGCCAAGCCCUAUUGCUCAUGUCUCAGUUCAAACUGAUUAUGACAGCUGGGAAAAUAGGCUGCUGAGAAAGUACCUCCUGGAAUCAUGUCCCUGUAGUCCUGUACUGGAAUCUCUAACUACAACAUCAGAGUCUACAGCUAGAACACCAGAACCUACAGCUACAACAUCAGAGCCUACAACUACAAUGCCAGAGUCUACAGAUAGAACACCAGAGCCUACAGCUACAACAUCAGAGCCUACAACUACAAUGCCAGAGUCUACAGCUAGAACACCAGAGUCUACAACUAGAACACCAGAGCCUACAGCUACAACAUCAGUGCCUACAACUACAAUACCAGAGUCUACAGCUAGAAGAUCAGUGCCUACAUCUAAGACAUCAAAGCCUACAGCUACACUCUCAGAGCCUACAGCUACAAUACGAGAGCUCACAGCUACAACAUCAGAGCCUGCCCUUCAUGUUUCCAUUAAAACUGACAAAGACUCAGAAGUUGUAUCCCAAGAAACAGAUGACCAGGACACAUCUGAAUCCAAAUCUGGUCCAGAAACUGACUCAAUACCAGAGCCUGCUGUCCAUAGUUCCAUUCAAACAGAUCAGAUCCCCUGGGAAGCAAUAUUCCCAGAAACAGACUUACAGGAAAUAUUUUCAUCCAGUCCUGAACCAGAGACUGACACAACAAGAGAACCUACCAUGCAUGUCUCUGUCCAAACAGAGCUAACAGACUCCUGGGAAAUAAUAUCCUCAGAGACAGAUGAGGAUGAAAGUCUAGCAGACCAGGAUGACAGAAUAGCUCUACUGGACUUAGACCCCCAGGAUGCUACUCUAUCUAGCCCUCAGCAGUGGGCCACACCUCCACCCACUCCUUAUCCCUGGGCUGAGGAUAUGCCAAACAACAAUGCCCUGGUCAUGUUUCAUCCAGAAUUAAAACAACGGCAAGCAAUUUCCCAGAAAAUAGAUCAGCUGGCUAUAGUUUCACCCAGGCCAGACCUGGUCAUUGAGGCUAUAUCGGAACCCAUUGUCUAUGAGUCAGUUCUAAUAAAACAAGAGGCCUGGAAAACAACACCUCCAAUCCUACCAGGAAUAUCUGAUCACCAGGCAAUAAUAACAGAGGAAAAUCAUGAGAUAACACCUCCUCUGGACUUAAAUGGCCAAGAUACAGUACUUGCUACCCCUGCCAAGGCAACCACACCUCUGCCCAGCCCUGAUCAGCAGCAAAGUGAGAAUAUAUACAAUCAUGAUGCACAGGUUACACUUGAUCAGAAUUUAGAACAAUGGGCAACACAAUCAGAGGAAACUGAUCUCAAGGAAAACUCAGAGACUGAGCAUACUCCAGAUGUCACUGAUCCUAUCUCAGAUAUGAUUGAGGAAGAAACUUUUGAAAUCAUAGAUAUAAUGCCAUUGAGAAUAGAGUUUGAGGAAACAAAUGAAAUAGUCAAGGAUCACUGGGCAAUAUUUCUUCCCCUGGACAGCAAUGAUGAAGAAAAUACUGUAUCUGGACCUGACCACCCCUCGGCCACACUACUCAUAUCAUCCUUCAGCUCUGACCAGAAGCAAGCAUCUGAGACUACCUCAAGUGACCUUGCCCAAGACUUAGCUCAAAUAGAACAAGAGUAUGAAGAAAUGUCACCAUCAAGAAUAGAACGAGAGACCACAAUUCUAGCAGGCCAGGAUGAAGGGGCAACGCCUCCAGUGGACUUAGACCCUCAAAACCCAGCUCCACUUGUCCUUGAACUCCAGAUCACACCUCCACCCAGCCCUGACCAGCAACCUGAAGAUAUACUAGAUUCCAGUGACCAAGUGUCACUUCAGCCAGAAUCUGAACAUUCUAACCCAAUGUCACCAGAAACAGAGCUUCAAAAACCCAUUAUAAAAGAAGAGUAUAAAAGAGUAACACCACCAAUGAGCUUAGAUCACAAGGUGGAAAUUAUUGUAUCUAGCCCUGAUCACUGUCCAACUCCCCCAUCCAGCCCUGAGAAACAGUCAGAACCUAUUCUGCAUCUCAGUAUCCAGGCUACAUCUCCAACUAAUAGAAAGCACUCAGCAAAAUUGUCUGAAGGUCAAGAGAAAAUCACACCUCUUCCUAGCCCUAACCCCUCAGUCCCUCCUCCAGCUGUCUUAGAAAAACAGGCUAAAGCUGGAACAGAUCCCGUCAACCUGGCAAGUACAGCACCAGUGAGCUUGGAUGAUGAUGAAACAAUUCCUCUAAGUCCUGAGAAGACCACAUCACCACCAAGUCCCAAUCACCAGACUGAGCCUCCAACAGGCCAUGACCACCAGCCUGAGACUAAGCUGAGCUAUGACCACCAAGAUGAGGUUGAAUCUGGGUUUCAACAUCAGUCCCAAAUUGUGCAAAAGAGACAACCUGAAUUACGUUUAAAUUAUAUCAAACCAUACACCAUCUUGGGGGGAACUGUCUCUGACAAAACUGUUCAUGCUAUCAUUAAUUCCAUCCCUCAGGAAAGAAUAAAAAAUGACAUCUCUAAGCAGAUUCUCCUACCUAUGAGUCUUGAUAGAUACAGCCCAUGUGAAUACAUGGUUUGUUUAAUUUGCUCCUCCUGGAUCCCAGAUGGCUGUCCACAUGAAGGGAUGAAAUAUCCAUGUGAAGCCCAGUUACUGGCUACACCAAUAUCUAUGUCCAUGUCAGAGGAGUUGAUUAAUGUGACAUUUUCCCUCAAAUGUCCCCAGGCAACAGCCUCUGCCCUUUUUUGCUCCUCAGACAUCCCCCGUAGAAAUUUGAAACAGUCAUCAGAAGACGUAGAAUCAAAUCACUCAGAACCCAUGGUCACUCUUCAAUCAAGGCCAAAAUGGCUUCACUUCAUACUAAGCAAAUCUCUCCCACAAGGGAAGAAAGACAUCUCUAGAAGCCCAGAACCAUCCAUAGACAAGGUCUUUGAAGAAGGAAGAGAAGGGGAGAUGGCCAGGAUACAACGGACGACCUUUAGAUCUCUACUGGAGAGAUUUCAAUGGAGGUUAAAGGGAAACUAAAUGUCUAUCUUUAUCUUUGAAAGAAAUUGAGAAUUCCCCCUGUGUAUUUUUAAAAAUUGUGCCUAAUUUUGAGUCUUAAUUAUUAUUUUAGGUGUUACAAAGAGAUUAUAACCCUGUCUCUUCUUUUCAGUUCAAGAGGGGGACAAUGAUUAUAGGGAGAAUGAAUUCUUCACUUCGUCUUCUUCUCAUCCUAUAGCCUAUGGAGCCCCUUUGGUAAAUAUGGGAGAAUGUGGACAGUAAUCACAAAGAGUGGGCAUGCAUGGAUGGAUUCCAACCUGUGUUUUUGUUGGAAUUAUCCAAAUCAAUGAGAUCACCUGUGUAUUUGAGUUUUGAGCCAAACAGACUGUAUAAAGAAUUAAUGGCUCCCCAAAGACCAAAAAAAAAAUCCAUUCUUUGCUUUCCUCACAUUUACAGAAAUUUAGUAAAUGUUUCUCUAGGUUAAAAUAUGACUAUGAAUAACCUACAAACCUCUUUAUCCUAACUCAACUUCAUCACCUAAAUCCUACCUUCAAAAAAUAUAUACAUUACAAAAUCACAGGAUUUUAGAGUUGGGAAAAAAACCUCAGUAAGUUUCUAAUCCAGUCUUUUCCACAGAAUUCUCCACUAUGAUAUACUCCAAAAUUGACCUUUUUGAAGACUUCCAAGGAAUGAUAACCUAUAACCUCAUAUGAUGACUCAUUCUGCUUUUGUAGAGUUGUAAUAAUUGCUUUUCCUUUACAUUGAAACUUUUGUGGGAACACAGUGGCUAGAGUGCCAGACCUGGAGUUAGAGGCACCUAGGUUCAAAUCUGGCCUGUCUCUUCCUAGCUGGGUGAACAUGGGCAAGUUAAUUGCCUCGCCUUUAUUGCUCUUCUGCCUUAGAAUGGCUAUUGAGUCUAAAACAGAAGGUAAGGGUUUAAAAAAAUUUUUUUUUAAGACUUUGGCUUUGAAGUCCACUCUACGCCUGUUUCUGCCCUCUUAGGAACAAUCAGAACAAGUCAAAUCUCUCUUCAAAUAUUUGAAGAAAGCUUUUAUAAAUUAUUCCUCCUAUACCUGGGCCCUGUCUUCUCUUGUCCAGUCUAAACAUUCUCAAUUCCUUCAAUCUUCACAUGGAACAAACUCAAGUUUCUUCAUCAUCCUGGUUAUCUUCUUUGGGACAUUUUCAAGGUUAUCUAUUUCCUUCCUAAUGUAAGAGAUAAAAUUAUAAGACUGGCUGUAAAUUAAUAAUUUUAUUAAUCAAAAAAGUAGUAGGGGGGAAAGAUGGAAAGGAGAGGAUAUAUAGAUUACUUUCCUUAUUGCUCCAUUUAGCUUGCUAUUCUGUGGCUGCCAUUAAGGCCCCCUAGGCAUGCUUACAGGAAAGUCCAGCCAUCAACAAAUACAGAAGAGAGUGGAAAUCCACUCUUGCCUCAACCAAGCUGUGGCUUUCUAUUUUGCCUGGGCCAUGGGGGAAGGGGGGGAACAGCCCAUAGGACAGUGUAGGGGAGUCACCAGGAGAUGAGGUCACCUGUGUGACCCCAGGAAAAGGGAGGAGAGUAAAUUUCCUUUGCCCACUAAAUUGUGGUACCCAGAACUGAACCCUGUAUAUUGCAAAAUGUAGUUUGACCAGAGUAGAGUCCAACAGGAUAAAUAAAUCAUUUUUCAUGAAACCUAUGUUUCUCUGA
ensembl:lncRNA